GUCCCUUCGGGAACAUCAAAAACUGAAUCAAAUCAGAGAAAAUUAGCAUGGUCCCUUCAUAAGGAUGAGACACGUGCACGCACAAAUCGCAAAAUAUUU
rnacentral:snRNA from 1 species